rnacentral:lncRNA from 1 species
CAUUGGUACAUGUGAGACACAGGAAGUGAUGUAAAGAAUUGCCUUUAUAUUUUGCAUCACUUCCUGUGAGAAGGACUUUUGCAGUCUUUGGCGGUGGUACUUGACUUAGAGGAGCUGUGGAGUGUGGGACCUCAGACUGUUUCUCUGAGACAUCCACAUGGUUAAUCAUGCUGAGAGAGGACUGGGUUUAUGCCUUAGUUCCUAACCCCCCUCACAGAGUAUGUGUCAGUAAGAACUUUUUUCAGUUUCUAUAAAAUACAGCUCAUCAAAAUGGUGGACCCUGUUGAAUGCACAUCCAGAUUUCAUUCCUAAAGGAGGGUAACAAGGGAGCCUACACUGGAACCAAGGCAAAUGAAACCAUAGAUUUUUGGUGACAUCUAUUUACUGGUUGCUGUUUUGAGACCUGCUGUCAGUUUGCUUGCAAAAGUUCUCUCUCCCAAUGAAGUUCUGAAGUUUGACAAUAAUGUGUAUGCUCUGGAGGUGGAGUCAAGAUGGUGGCUUAGAAACAGCAAAAGUUGAAUCCUCUGUGAAAACUCUUCUACACAAAUCAAAAAGAAAGUACUUUGAGGGGGGACACAAAAAUAAAUACAACAACAGGACAGAGCUGGGGGAUGCUCCUGCUGGAUUCACCUUAAAAGAGGAAUAA